AAUUGAUGGUGCUGAUAGAUUGCUCCAAUACAUAAAGUGAAAAAGUAGCGAAUGUAUUUCACCACAAUAUUCAUGCCAAGUGUUAAAUUUGGAACAGAAAUCAAAGUCAGGAAAACUUAGCAUGAUCAAUUUAGUAAAAAUGUAGUCAGGUCAGGCUCACUAAGGGUAGUUUCUUGUUUUUAGCUAUGGUCAACCCAGUAGCAUAGUAACUCCGUCAUACCCAAAUAUUGAUUGGGUUUCCAACACUCUGAAGUCUGCUGACUACGUGGAGACAGCUCCGAUCAACAAACAAAGGAGCCCUUUGCUGCUUCGCUCUGCAGUUAAGUGCAUCUUCUUAGAAGAUCUUCAAAGGGAAGAAUGAUCAUCUACAGGCCAAGACACAGCGACCAGAAUAGUCACCUCUGCAGUGCUCAUUCCCCAAAGCCUUCUAUCUCCAUCUUCUUCAGGAGCCAUGAGUCUGUCUCAUUGUUGCAGGCAGGCAGGGUCCAGACAUGGGUGCAGUUACAGAUGUGCAUGAGAGAGAGGGUAACUAAAGCCCCAACUAUCAGGCCAGGGUGCCAAGAAGAGGAGCCCCAGGGAACUGAGAAGUACCAGAGGAAUUGCAGAGGAGGAACUCAAGAAAGCAACUCCAUAAAGUUAUUUAUGAAUACAUGGGCUCACCCUGAGCUCUGUAUGCAUGAAUCUGAUUCUAAUCAGCAGACCAAAGACUAUGAAAGACCAUGAGAACUGAACUAACAGAUAGACCACAGCCAAGGUCCCAAACUAACCACUGAGUGACACACAUGUGGGACAGAUCCUAAUAACACUGAAAAGGCUUUGAAAAUUGAAAUGACAUUGGAAACAGUGCCCAUAGGUUGGAAUUUGUGGUCUGAAUCUAACCAGUGUGAUUGACUGUUAAAACAAAAAUAUCCAGAAUUUUCAUCAAAUUUAAGUGAGACACAGAGUUUUAUAAUGUAAUAGUCAAAAUGUUCAGAAUAUAAUCCAAAUUACUAGGCAUGCAAAGAAUGAAAGAAACUUCAAACUGCAUGGGAAAGGCAAUCAACUGACAUCAAUACCACAAUGACACAGAUAUUGGAAUUAUCUGACAGACUUUACAGCACCUGUUAUAUCAGUGCUCCAACAAGCAAUCACAAACACACUUAAGAUAAAUUAGGGGCCAGCCCAGUGGCGCAGUGCUUAAGUGCGCACGUUCUACUUCAGUGGCCUGCAGUUCACCGGUUCUG